rnacentral:lncRNA from 1 species
AUCACAGACUGGCCGUCCUAAAGUCUUCUCAAUAUUAGCCACUUGUCAGUGACUGUGCUGCUGGUUCCUAAGCCUUCGUGACAUUCCUCUCACUGUAUUGGGCAGGGAAUUCCAGGCUUAAGACUGAGAGGACCGGUAAUUUGCCUUAUAUUAAUAUUUAACCACACAACUUAAAUCCAAAUGGUCCCGUGCCACAGAGAUGAAGAUUCAUGAGCAACCCCCACCCGUGGGAAUCUGUCUAUACUCUGAAGACCCCUGCCCACCUCCCCUUUCUACCAUGUUCAAAAAACUGUAAUGGGCAGCAUCUGUAGUGCUGUGGUGUCUUGGCGAUCUGUUAUGUGCUUAGGUGCUAAAGCUCAACUCCUUUGUGUGUGUUGUCUCCGCCAGCACGCAACCUUUCAAUGAUGUUAUCUAGCUAUCUUUCAAAAUGGCGUAUACUCUGUGGUGGCCUACAGUGCUCUAUGGAAAUGCUUUAGGAUUGUCUAAUCUAAAUGUUACUAGCUGAAACAUUUACUAAAGACCCAAGCAUCCCAUGAUACUGGUAAAUACACAUAUUUUAGCCACAGAGACUGAAAGAAGUAGUCAAUUUCAGCAUCUGAAGGCUGGAGAGAUGGCCCAGUCGAUAAGAUACUUGUUGCAGAAGCAUGAAAUUAGCAAGAAAGAUCUCCAGAAUCUAUGUUAAGAAGCUCCGUGUCAGCUUGUAACCCUAGCAUUGGGGAGGUAAAGACAGUGGGUCCCCAGAGAUUCCUGGCCAGCCAGACUAACCUACUCAGUGAACCUCAGUUCCCAGUGAAAAACCUUGUCUCAAAAAAUGAGAUGGAUGGCUCCUAGGGCACGAGGCCAGAGACUGUUCUCCAGCCCCCACACCAGUACACACAUGCAUGCUCACCUGUGCACACAUAUAAAUAGGAGACAGUCUCACCUUUUAUUAAAGACAGCUUUUUAUUUAGACUCAUCAUUAGAAUAUGCCAAAUAUUACAGCAUAGCAUUAUACAACAAACUCCUCCCUGGUGCAGAUUCUAAUGAGAUCCCAUGGGAACCUGCUCGGUUGGGGCACUGGGACUUUCCCAAGUGACAGAAGACUCUAGGUACACAGAAUAUCUUAAAUGUGUAUUGUUCAGGCAGUGGGAUCCACUGAAAACAGGGUGUUCUCUUUUUAUAGCAUCUUCAUUGCUGUCGAGAGGACCUUUGGAAGGGCAGAGUUUAAGAUGGAAAUGUUUUUUUUUUUCUGCUUCUCUGACAGAGAUUCGGGUACACUAUGCAUUUUUUUAUUUUUGUCAAAAGAUUUCAAUAAAAGCCACAAAUCACCCCAGUUUCUACCACCCAGAGUUAAUCAAUGUGGAUACUGGCUAUAUAUUGUCUAAUAUAUUUGUCUAUCUGCCUCUGCAAAUACUUGCAGGUAUGUACAUCAUAAAAAUGAAGCUAAAGUCUAGGCAUGCAGGGGAAAGGGGGCUUUUUAUAAAUUGAAAUAUGGAGGUCUCAAAAAUAUUUUCCUUCCGCCCCACCCCUGAGAUAGGGUUUCUCUGUGUAGCCCUGGCUGUCCUGGAACUUGCUUUUCAGACCAAGAUGGCCUCCAACUCACGUAAAUUGACCUGUCCUUAGUGCUGGGAUCAAAGGUGUGUGCUGCCACGCCCAGCUCAAGAGCAAUUUAAAAUGAUUUGACAUGAGAAACUAACAUGGGGCUAAAAGAAUUAUGAACUUUAGAUCUCUUUACAGCAUGAGCUAUUCCUAAAAUUAUAAAUAAUAUUAUGAUAAAUAUUAAAAACUUAGAAUCUUUGAAAUUGUGUUUCAGUUUAAGCUUCAUAGAUGAACUUUCUACAAUACCCAUUUUAAAAAUAAACAUUUUAAAUGGAUAAGAUUGUUUGAAAAAAAAUGCUGCUCUAUAUCUUUGUUUUCAUGUCUAUUCUGUUUCUCAGGUUUUCAUGAGUUAUUGCUUACUCCAUUAAAAAAAAAUCAGCCCUGCUCAAUGCCUGAGGCACGAGGAGUGUGAAUAAUAGAGGCCGAGAGUGAAGCUAGCUGGCCUUCUUUAUUUUUAGAAGGUCUUUCUUUGGAACACAAAUGAGAAGUAAUGCUUUAAAUUAGUUUACAAUAUCAUUAAGGUUUAGAAAUGCACCAACAAGGGGGGAAAAAAACUAAGAAAGACCUUGAGUGUAUGGUUUCUAGGAUAUCGGUUCCCCUGCCCCUCCCUCUCGCUCACGCGCGCGCACACAGACACACACACACACACACACACACACACAGACACACACACACACACACACACAGACACACACACACACACACACAGACACACACACACACACACACACACACACACACACACACACACACACGCGCGCGCGGCGCGCACACCUACCUCACAAUCCCCAUCCCCACCCCAGCCUCUAGGGUGCAUGCCUUUCCCACCCACCAGGGCUUUCAGACCACUCCUCUUCCAGCUCCUUUGAAACUACAACAGCCAUCUGGGAAAAACAUGGCUUCCUUAUAAUUAAACUCAGAAAUCAAGGUUGAACACUUGAUAUUAACAAUUCUCUAAAACACAUAGUCUGAGCCCAGCAUGGUGGCUCACACAUAGAAUCCUAGCAUCCAGAAUGGAGGCAGGAGAAGUCCCAUGACUUUGAGGCCACCCAGGGCUCUAGAGUAAAUUCUAGGCCAACCAAAUAACAUAACUCAAGAUAAACAAAAUAAAUAAAGAUAUUAUCUGACUAAAUAACAGCUAAAAACAAUCAAGUGUUAGCUGUCAUCAGAUUCGAUGUUUACCACUCUGUAGUUUGGUGAGGAGAGGAGUAAAAUAUGACCACCUUUGUAAGAGCAAGUAAUUUAACAAAUGGGACCGAAUGUGAUGAGAAAUAAUUCCUCUUUAUGCUUUUUGUUUUCGGUUCAAGGAAUAGUUUUGCUGUUGCACUGUUUGGUCCUCUGUGUCUUGUAGCAUCUUCCUAGCCUCGGACACGAUGCUCCCUUCCCGCAGCCUUUGCCUCCUGCAUCACAGUUUGUGGGGAGACUCUUGCCAGUAAGGCCUUGACUUAGCUUAAGACAUAGAAAGAAGUGAAGCUAGCUGACUUGUUUUAAUGUCUACAUCCCAUGGGGCCUCACUUGCUGGUCCUAAUUGUCCAGGACCAAGCUCCCCUCCUAGGAAGUAGAGAACAGGAAAGGUACUGCUGCCAGCUUGAAGAUGAGAAUCAGCCUCACUUCUGGCAGAGGGAAAUGGCGAGGCUUGCCUAAGCAUCCAUGCAAGCCAAGAAGCAGCAAGCGGGGACUGUACUAUACAUCCACAGAAAAAGGUACCAGACAUUGCUCUUGGCUGUGGCUUUGACAAUGAAAUCCUUUCUUUUCCGUCUUUCCUCCAAAGCUCAUCUAGAGUGGAUUAAAUGCUGAGCCCUUUCACGGUGUGUAGGAAAUGCCGAGUUUCCCACACCUUCCCUUUGAAAUCAUCCACAGGGUUACUGAAACAUCUAGAAAUAGUGUUGGCAUUUUUUUCUUGACAGCUAGCUUGGCUGUGUUUAGGUGGUAUGAAGAAAGGGUACCAGGAGUUCUGCCAGCAGAUGCCCAGCUGGGCUCGGGGCUCCUGGACUAAUGCUUUGAAGUCUCACUGUGUGGGAGACUCUGUCUUCGUAAGUGGAAUUCACCAUUUGUUCCACUAAAAAGCAUCACCUCUGAACGUCUGAGUUUAAGGUGUUAAGAGCUCAGCCACCCUCUAUUACAAUUCUCUUGUUUAAUGUGCAAUGGGGGACUAAGGGGAGCAAGUUACUUUAGUGUCUUUGUGCCAGCACUCAGUGAUAUAUUGCUGGCCUCGGGAACAUCAGUCAGACACCGACUUUCCCGUCAUUUCUUUGGACACUGGCUGGGGACCCUGGGCUUGUAGAGCCUUCUGUCAGUUCUCAUGAGGUUGAUGGUACCCAUCAAUAUCAGAUUAUUUGUUAGCGAUUCUCUGUUUGCAAUACUGAUAUUUCUACAACAAUUACUUUUAACAUUUUCCUAUUUGGCCUUAUAUAAAAUAGCAUUAACUUGUGAUUCAAUGGCACCUAUGAUCUUUUCUGGACUAGGGUGGUAGCUGGACAUAAUAGUGUAUGCAUUGGGAGGCAGAGGUAGAAGGAGAAGGUAUCCAAGACCAGCCUUGCCUACAUAGUGAGUUCGAGGUCAGCCUUGGCUACAG